CCCUCUUGACUGGCUGCCCCUCUCUCUAUUUCUCUAUCCUUCUAUCUUACCCACCCAUCGAUACACACAAACACACUCUAGCUCCCAUCUCCUUCAUCAUUUCUUUCCCCUCUCUAGUCGAAUCCUCCCUAUUAGGGAGGAUUAUAUCUCCAUUGAUUCUUCUAGUAGAGCCAAAACUCCAUGAGAUUUUGAAAUGCAAGAGACCCAAGGUUUUGAGAUUCUUGGUGAUGGACCUAGUGACAGGAUCAGUUGAUUUUGUGAUGCCCGGUUGAGGUAAAAUUGGUUGGCUUUUCGAGGACCCUAGUCUAGAUGGAGAAAUCAGGUGAUUCUGAGGAAGCUAGUAGACAACCACCACCUUUGCCCGCACCACCUCCAACCAUUCCUCCCAAUGUUAAGCCAGAAUGAGUGACCACUAUUAAUUAUACUAUUACCAGCAGGCGUGGAGUUGGGACUACUGGUUCUUCUUGCAAAAGUAUACCAAGGGCAUCUUCUUGCAAAAGUGUUGAAGGAUUUGUUUAAAUACUUUGGAACUUUGACAAUGGUUAUAGACAAUGUUAUAUGUAUUUGAUAAUAUAUUUCUAUGUUAAUAUUACGUUAGUCUGGAGACAUUUGUGGUGUUGUUAAUUAGUUACAUUUGUGGUAUUGUGUUAGUAGAGUUAAAACUAUUACAGGUUCUUCGUAACA